GGGGAUAUGGUGGAAUUGGUAUACACACACGUUUGAGGGGCGUGGGUCGCAAGACCGUGAGGGUUCGAGUCCCUCUAUCCCCACCA
rnacentral:tRNA from 1 species